rnacentral:rRNA from 1 species
AACGAACGCUGGCGGCAUGCCUAACACAUGCAAGUCGAACGAGACCUUCGGGUCUAGUGGCGCACGGGUGCGUAACGCGUGGGAAUCUGCCCUUAGGUACGGAAUAACUCAGGGAAACUUGAGCUAAUACCGUAUAAUGACUCCGGUCCAAAGAUUUAUCGCCUAGGGAUGAGCCCGCGUCGGAUUAGCUAGUUGGUGAGGUAAAAGCUCACCAAGGCGACGAUCCGUAGCUGGCUGAGAGGAUGAUCAGCCACACUGGGACUGAGACACGGCCCAGACUCCUACGGGAGGCAGCAGUGGGGAAUAUUGGACAAUGGGCGAAAGCCUGAUCCAGCAAUGCCGCGUGAGUGAUGAAGGCCUUAGGGUUGUAAAG